rnacentral:misc_RNA from 1 species
GUGAAUCAUCAAAUUUUUGAACGCAAAUUGCACUCUCCGGUUUUCCGGGAGAGUAUGCCUGUUGGGAGUUAGUUAAAAUAAAAAAUCGAUGCGUCGCUCUUGUUUGAAAGGGUGAUCGCGUCGGAAUUGAGUCGUCUUUAAAUGUUAAUUAAUGUAAAAUUGACUGAAAAUUUCAGCCAUACGUUAUGAUUAAAGCGUAUGUAAGGUCAAUCUUG